CAGGGAAGAGACAGAGAGAGCAGGGUCCUGGGAGGAUGGGGAGGACAUAAACUAGUCCCCAAAACCUGCAGGCAGACAGGCAGAGUGUGUGAAGACAGAGAGAAAGAGAGAACGCACUCUCCCGCAGACCGAGACGACUCUGUACAAGUCAACACUUCACGGAGA